UACGGGGGGGGCAAGCGUUGUUCGGAAUUACUGGGCGUAAAGGGCUCGUAGGCGGCCGAUCAAGUCGAGUGUGAAAGCCCCCGGCUCAACUGGGGAGGGUCAUUCGAUACUGAUCGACUCGAAGGCAGGAGAGGGUAGUGGAAUUCCCGGUGUAGUGGUGAAAUGCGUAGAUAUCGGGAGGAACACCAGUGGCGAAGGCGACUACCUGGCCUGUUCUUGACGCUGAGGCGCGAAAGCUAGGGGAGCAAACGGG
rnacentral:rRNA from 1 species